GUCUAUGGCCAUAUCACCCUGAACACGCCCAAUCUUGUCUGAUCUCAGAAGCUAAGCAGGGUUGAGCCUGGUUAGGACUUGGAUGCGAGACCUCCUGGGAAUACCGGGUGGGCUUUAAAAA
rnacentral:rRNA from 1 species